GACAGAGGCCCCAAGCGUUAGGCGGAAUCACUGGGCUUAAAGCGUGUGUAGGCGGACGCCUAAGUGUCUUGUGAAAUCCCACGGCUCACCCGUGGAACUGCUGGGCAUACUGGGCGUCUUGGGCCAACUAGGGGCAGCCGGAACAAGCGGUGGAGCGGUGAAAUGCGUAGAUAUCGCUUGGAACGCCGAAGGUGAAAACAGGCUGCUGGGGGUUGUGCCGACGCUGAGACACGAAAGCCAGGGGGAGCAAACGGG
rnacentral:rRNA from 1 species